CGCGGUCGGUCAGCAACCCCAUGGCCUUCAGCGGCAAGGGGUGCGGAAGGUGAGACAUGGUCGUUACAACAGUCGGGGGAGCUGCUAGAUGACAUUAGGCAGUUAAUUGAUUCCUGGGGUGUAGGGAGAAGGAAGGACAGUGAGUGCAGUCAGGUUUGGGCUCGGGUGGGAGAGGUCUCAGGGGCUAGUCCGGUGAGGGUUUCUGGGGCCUGAGGCAGCACAGUUGGGGACGGGGGUGAGACCCCCACAGUAGAGGCGCCCGGGUUGGCGAGUGAGAGGGCGAGCUUAUUGGGGGGCGUCCCGGAGGCCGCGCGGCAGAACGU